AGUCUAGCAUGUGCGCGAGUCAUUGGGAAUCAAUAAACCUAAAGGCGCAAUGAAAGUGAAAGUCUGUUUACGCGGACUUAGGGAAGAUAGGUGCGUACACAUUGUGUACAACCUCGCACUCCCGGGGCGUCCCGCACUCAUUGCGAGGUGGGGCGCACCAAGAGCGUACACGCUGGGACCCGAAAGAUGGUGAACUAUGCCUGGUCAGGACGAAGUCAGGGGAAACCCUGAUGGAGGUCCGUAGCGAUUCUGACGUGCAAAUCGAUCGUCGGAACUGGGCUUAGGGGCGAAAGACUAAUCGAACCAUCUAGUAGCUGGUUCCCACCGAAGUUUCCCUCAGGAUAGCUGGCACUAGAUUAUGGAUGAGUCUCAUCCGGUAAAGCGAAUGAUUAGAGGCAUUGGGGUCGAAACGGCCUCAACCUAUUCUCAAACUUUAAAUGGGUGAGAUCUCCGGCUUGCUCGAUUUAUGAAGCCGGAGAUCGGAUCAAUUAGUGCCAAGUGGGCCACUUUUGGUAAGCAGAACUGGCGCUGUGGGAUGAACCAAACGCAGAGUUAAAGCGCCAAAAUCGACGCUUAUGGGAUACCAUGAAAGGCGUUGGUAACUUAAGACAGCAGGACGGUGGCCAUGGAAGUCGGAA
rnacentral:rRNA from 1 species